rnacentral:rRNA from 2 species
GCUCAGGAUGAACGCUAGCUACAGGCUUAACACAUGCAAGUCGAGGGGAAACGACAUCGAAAGCUUGCUUUUGAUGGGCGCCGACCGGCGCACGGGUGAGUAACGCGUAUCCAACCUGCCCACCACUUGGGGAUAACCUUGCGAAAGUAAGACUAAUACCCAAUGAUAUCUCUAAAAGACAUCUGAAAGAGAUUAAAGAUUUAUCGGUGAUGGAUGGGGAUGCGUCUGAUUAGCUUGUUGGCGGGGUAACGGCCCACCAAGGCAACGAUCAGUAGGGGUUCUGAGAGGAAGGUCCCCCACAUUGGAACUGAGACACGGUCCAAACUCCUACGGGAGGCAGCAGUGAGGAAUAUUGGUCAAUGGACGAGAGUCUGAACCAGCCAAGUAGCGUGCAGGAUGACGGCCCUAUGGGUUGUAAACUGCUUUUAUAAGGGAAUAAAGUGAGUCUCGUGAGACUUUUUGCAUGUACCUUAUGAAUAAGGACCGGCUAAUUCCGUGCCAGCAGCCGCGGUAAUACGGAAGGUCCGGGCGUUAUCCGGAUUUAUUGGGUUUAAAGGGAGCGUAGGCCGGAGAUUAAGCGUGUUGUGAAAUGUAGACGCUCAACGUCUGCACUGCAGCGCGAACUGGUUUCCUUGAGUACGCACAAAGUGGGCGGAAUUCGUGGUGUAGCGGUGAAAUGCUUAGAUAUCACGAAGAACUCCGAUUGCGAAGGCAGCUCACUGGAGCGCAACUGACGCUGAAGCUCGAAAGUGCGGGUAUCGAACAGGAUUAGAUACCCUGGUAGUCCGCACGGUAAACGAUGGAUGCCCGCUGUUGGUCUGAAUAGGUCAGCGGCCAAGCGAAAG